UACGUAGUCUGCUGCAUGCAGGAAGACCCGC
rnacentral:rRNA from 1 species